UACGAAGGUCCCGAGCGUUAUCCGGAUUUAUUGGGUUUAAAGGGUGCGUAGGCGGAUUAUUAAGUCAGUGGUGAAAGCCUACAGCUUAACUGUAGAAUUGCCAUUGAUACUGAUGAUCUUGAGUAUGAUUGAGGUGGGCGGAAUGUGUCAUGUAGCGGUGAAAUGCUUAGAUAUGACACAGAACACCGAUUGCGAAGGCAGCUCACUAAGUCAUAACUGACGCUGAUGCACGAAAGCGUGGGGAGCAAACAGG
rnacentral:rRNA from 1 species